UUAAAGUAUUUUAUUAUUUGUUUAAGAAAUAGACAUUUCAUUAAAGUUUAUCAACACUAUUGAAGAUUCUGAAGUGCCUAUUUGUUUUAUAUCUAUUAAAAAAAAAUCUGGUGCGUCUGAGAAAACAGUUUCGAGGAUAACACAAGAAGGAAAAGUAGCGGCUAGUAUAGGUCUACCAGAAUCUGAUGGCAAAAAAAAGCUAAAAAAAUAGCGAUUUUCAUAUGGCAACAAAAAAAAAGUCAUCUGUCAAAACUGAAAUUUCGAGGAAUUGUUUUUGGUUUGGCUUCAAAUUUCCUUUAAAAAGUGGUGAAAAUGUCGAAGAAACCUCUUCGAUCGCAAGCAAGAAAUAUUGUUUUCAAUGUUUAUCAAAGGAUACUUGAUGAACAAGGUGUAGAACAAACACAAUCAUCGAUAUUGAGCCAUGUGCAAGCAUUGACGGAUGUUUCUAAUACUACCAUAAAACGAAUUGUUGCUGAAGGCAGAUCUAACAGAGGCGUAUUUAGUACGCCCGGUAAAAAGAGGAAAGGUGGCAAAAAUACUGCGUCUUUCUCGUCUUCCUCUUCCGAUGAAGACUUUUUUAUGGAUGUUUAGUAUUUGGAACCAUUUUCAAGUUAAUAAAUUCAUGAACAGAGUAA